rnacentral:rRNA from 1 species
GACCUGCGGAGGAUCAUUACC